rnacentral:rRNA from 1 species
UACGGAGGGAGCUAGCGUUAUUCGGAAUUACUGGGCGUAAAGCGCACGUAGGCGGCUUUGUAAGUAAGCGGUGAAAGCCCAGAGCUCAACUCUGGAAUUGCCUUUUAGACUGCAUCGCUUGAAUCAUGGAGAGGUCAGUGGAAUUCCGAGUGUAGAGGUGAAAUUCGUAGAUAUUCGGAAGAACACCAGUGGCGAAGGCGGCUGACUGGACAUGUAUUGACGCUGAGGUGCGAAAGCGUGGGGAGCAAACAGG